rnacentral:other from 1 species
UAUGAGCUGCGGGGCAGGUGAUACAACUUUUAUCCCAGAGGCCGAUGCUUUCGCAUAGGGAGCUGUCCCUGACUGUGACUUAGUGUUUUGCCGCUUCGUCCGUUCAUAUGGCGCCCACCUGGUUAUUCCGGGCUUCAUGUGGAUACUCACUGUACACGGCACCCGCGGCACUUUA